rnacentral:tRNA from 1 species
GUUUUAAUAAUUUAAAUAAAAUAAUGAUCUUGUAAAUCAUAAAUGGAUAAUUAAAUCCUUAAAACU